rnacentral:rRNA from 1 species
GAUGAACGCUAGCGACAGGCUUAACACAUGCAAGUCGAGGGGCAGCAUAGAAGUAGCAAUACUUUGGUGGCGACCGGCGCACGGGUGAGUAACGCGUAUGCAACCUACCUAUCAGAGGGGAAUAACGCGGCGAAAGUCGGACUAAUACCGCAUAAAACAGGGGCACCGCAUGGUGAUAUUUGUUAAAGAAAUUCGCUGAUAGAUGGGCAUGCGUUCCAUUAGGUAGUUGGUGAGGUAACGGCUCACCAAGCCGACGAUGGAUAGGGGGACUGAGAGGUUGGUCCCCCACACUGGUACUGAGACACGGACCAGACUCCUACGGGAGGCAGCAGUGAGGAAUAUUGGUCAAUGGGCGAGAGCCUGAACCAGCCAAGUCGCGUGAAGGAAGAAGGAUCUAUGGUUCGUAAACUUCUUUUGCAGGGGAAUAAAGUGCAGGACGUGUCCUGUUUUGUAUGUACCCUGAGAAUAAGGAUCGGCUAACUCCGUGCCAGCAGCCGCCGUAAUAC